UACGUAGGGGGCAAGCGUUGUCCGGAAUCAUUGGGCGUAAAGAGCGUGUAGGCGGCCCGAUAAGUCCGCUGUGAAAGUCCAGGGCUCAACCCUGGGAUGCCGGUGGAUACUGUCGGGCUCGAGUCCGGAAGAGGAGUGUGGAAUUCCUGGUGUAGCGGUGAAAUGCGCAGAUAUCAGGAGGAACACCGGUGGCGAAGGCGGCUUGCUGGGCCUUACCUGACGCUGAGGAGCGAAAGCGUGGGGAGCGAGCAGG
rnacentral:rRNA from 1 species